UACGAAGGGGGCUAGCGUUGCUCGGAAUACUGGGCGUAAAGCGCACGUAGGCGGAUCUUUAAGUCAGGGGUGAAAUCCUGGAGCUCAACUCCAGAACUGCCUUUGAUACUGAGGACCUUGAGUUCGGGAGAGGUGAGUGGAACUGCGAGUGUAGAGGUGAAAUUCGUAGAUAUUCGCAAGAACACCAGUGGCGAAGGCGGCUCACUGGCCCGAUACUGACGCUGAGGUGCGAAAGCGAUGGGGAGCAAACUAGGG
rnacentral:rRNA from 1 species